UACGAAGGGGACUAGCGUUGUUCGGAUUUACUGGGCGUAAAGCGCGCGUAGGCGGAUCGCUAAGUCAGGGGUGAAAUCCCAGGGCUCAACCCUGGAACUGCCUUUGAUACUGACGAUCUGGAGAUCGGGAGAGGUUGGUGGAAUUCCGAGUGUAGAGGUGAAAUUCGUAGAUAUUCGGAGGAACACCAGUGGCGAAGGCGACUACCUGGCCUGUUCUUGACGCUGAGGCGCGAAAGCUAGGGGAGCAAACGGG
rnacentral:rRNA from 1 species